UGUCAGGGAUGGGAAUCGAACCCACAGUGUUCCGCUUACCGGGCAGAUGCCAUGUCCACUAGGCUACCCUGGAC
rnacentral:tRNA from 1 species